GAUGAACGCUGGCGGCGUGCCUAAUACAUGCAAGUCGAGCGAACAGACGAGGAGCUUGCUCCCCUGACGUUAGCGGCGGACGGGUGAGUAACACGUGGAUAACCUACCUAUAAGACUGGGAUAACUUCGGGAAACCGGAGCUAAUACCGGAUAAUAUAUUGAACCGCAUGGUUCAAUAGUGAAAGACGGUUUUGCUGUCACUUAUAGAUGGAUCCGCGCCGCAUUAGCUAGUUGGUAAGGUAACGGCUUACCAAGGCAACGAUGCGUAGCCGACCUGAGAGGGUGAUCGGCCACACUGGAACUGAGACACGGUCCAGACUCCUACGGGAGGCAGCAGUAGGGAAUCUUCCGCAAUGGGCGAAAGCAUGACGGAGCAACGCCGCGUGAGUGAUGAAGGUCUUCGGAUCGUAAAACUCUGUUAUUAGGGAAGAACAAAUGUGUAAGUAACUAUGCACGUCUUGACGGUACCUAAUCAGAAAGCCACGGCUAACUACGUG
rnacentral:rRNA from 1 species